ensembl:lncRNA
UUUUUGCUAUGAUUUCCUUUGUUAUAUUUGUUUUUCGUUAGAUUAAUUGAUGCAUCGAAAAAUUAAUCGCUAGAUUCAUCGAUUAGGAAAAUAAUCGUUUUGCCCAGCCCUAGUCCAAAUCAACUUUUGUUGAAGUUGAUCUGCAGACCGACAUCCUUCAGGCGUUGGGAGGACAGCCUGUAACCGUUCAUCAUGCUCUUCUCUGAAAUGUCCAUACACUAUUAUGUCAUAUUAUGUCUCCUCUUUUAGGACUGUUUGCAUCAUCUUUUGGAAGGCAGAAGGGGCUGAAGCAAGUCCAAAUGGGACUCUCGUAAACUGGAAGAGUCCUUCAUGGGUUAUGAAUGCUGUGAGGCUUUGGCUAUCAGGGUGAAGAGGCAGUUGGUGAUAAGCUGAACUUAAAUCAAUCUGGCUAACAUGUGUAGCCCCAGCCAGCUGUGCAAACAAAUCCUCCAUAGGACUCACCCAUUCAGCUGCAUCCACUGGUUCGAUGAUGCCUGCUUGGAGUAGACGUUUCAAUUCAGCUGACACCUCACGUAUCUGAGUGGUAGACGCUGCAGUUUUUGACGAACCGGCUGUACUGUCUUGUUCACUUGACCUUUGUGGAUGAACCCUUUAACAGCUCCGAGAUGAUGGGAAGAAGAAGAAUCAAUGUUAUUCACCAUGCAUGUUUGUUUACUGGCUGGUGAUCCUCUUGCAGGAUCCUCUCCUUUGUUGAUGACUUUUCCAGCAAUGAUAUCAAUGUUAAGUGCUUUAUUUAAGUCCAACCCCAGAAAAGGUGAUCCAUCUUUAACUAUGAAGAAUGAUCCUGGGACUUUUCUGUCAUUGUUUGCAAUCCUCACUGAAGCCUGUAGGCAGCCAAUGACAGGCAAGUCACCUUUUGCAUAAGUGACAAGCUUAACUUUCGGUUCAGUCAAAGCACAGGGUGCAAAAUGUUCUUUGUAGAUGGCUUCUGGAAGGAUAGAUACUGAAGCUCCUGUAUCCACAAUUAACUGCAGAACAUCAGAGUUUCCCUGUGGUGUUUCAAUGUUCAUUUUGCAUAUAAUCUUAUCACAUGAUGCAGUCAUUGGUUUGUGAUCAUCAACACAUAAAACUGUAAACUUGGGAACAACUACUUCCCUGACCACUGCUACAGCUGAUUUACAAACUCUGGCGAAGUGC